rnacentral:rRNA from 1 species
UGCUGGAGGUAUCAGAAGUGCGAAUGCUGACAUAAGUAACGAUAAAGCGGGUGAAAAGCCCGCUCGCCGGAAGACCAAGGGUUCCUGUCCAACGUUAAUCGGGGCAGGGUGAGUCGACCCCUAAGGCGAGGCCGAAAGGCGUAGUCGAUGGGAAACAGGUUAAUAUUCCUGUACUUGGUGUUACUGCGAAGGGGGGACGGAGAAGGCUAUGUUGGCCGGGCGACGGUUGUCCCGGUUUAAGCGUGUAGGCUGGUUUUCCAGGCAAAUCCGGAAAACCAAGGCUGAGGCGUGAUGACGAGGCACUACGGUGCUGAAGCGACAAAUGCCCUGCUUCCAGGAAAAGCCUCUAAGCAUCAGGUAACAUCAAAUCGUACCCCAAACCGACACAGGUGGUCAGGUAGAGAAUACCAAGGCGCUUGAGAGAACUCGGGUGAAGGAACUAGGCAAAAUGGUGCCGUAACUUCGGGAGAAGGCACGCUGAUAUGUAGGUGAAGCGACUUGCUCGUGGAGCUGAAAUCAGUCGAAGAUACCAGCUGGCUGCAACUGUUUAUUAAAAACACAGCACUGUGCAAACACGAAAGUGGACGUAUACGGUGUGACGCCUGCCCGGUGCCGGAAGGUUAAUUGAUGGGGUUAGCGGUAACGCGAAGCUCUUGAUCGAAGCCCCGGUAAACGGCGGCCGUAACUAUAACGGUCCUAAGGUAGCGAAAUUCCUUGUCGGGUAAGUUCCGACCUGCACGAAUGGCGUAAUGAUGGCCAGGCUGUCUCCACCCGAGACUCAGUGAAAUUGAACUCGCUGUGAAGAUGCAGUGUACCCGCGGCAAGACGGAAAGACCCCGUGAACCUUUACUAUAGCUUGACACUGAACAUUGAGCCUUGAUGUGUAGGAUAGGUGGGAGGCUUUGAAGUGUGGACGCCAGUCUGCAUGGAGCCGACCUUGAAAUACCACCCUUUAAUGUUUGAUGUUCUAACGUUGGCCCGUAAUCCGGGUUGCGGACAGUGUCUGGUGGGUAGUUUGACUGGGGCGGUCUCCUCCUAAAGAGUAACGGAGGAGCACGAAGGUUGGCUAAUCCUGGUCGGACAUCAGGAGGUUAGUGCAAUGGCAUAAGCCAGCUUGACUGCGAGCGUGACGGCGCGAGCAGGUGCGAAAGCAGGUCAUAGUGAUCCGGUGGUUCUGAAUGGAAGGGCCAUCGCUCAACGGAUAAAAGGUACUCCGGGGAUAACAGGCUGAUACCGCCCAAGAGUUCAUAUCGACGGCGGUGUUUGGCACCUCGAUGUCGGCUCAUCACAUCCUGGGGCUGAAGUAGGUCCCAAGGGUAUGGCUGUUCGCCAUUUAAAGUGGUACGCGAGCUGGGUUUAGAACGUCGUGAGACAGUUCGGUCCCUAUCUGCCGUGGGCGCUGGAGAACUGAGGGGGGCUGCUCCUAGUACGAGAGGACCGGAGUGGACGCAUCACUGGUGUUCGGGUUGUCAUGCCAAUGCACUGCCCGGUAGCUAAAUGCGGAAGAGAUAAGUGCUGAAAGCAUCUAAGCACGAAACUUGCCCCGAGAUGAGUUCU